AAAAUUUAUUAUUAUAAAGAUAUAAUGUAAAAAUAGUUACUAUUUUAUUUUUUACAUUAACUCUUAUUAAGAAUUGUUAAAAAAUAUAGUUAGAAUACAUAGAAAAAUCCUAAUACAAAUACUUAUGAUAAAUUAAUAUUUGUAUCUCUAAUAAGAGUAUAAUAAAUGAACUAAAACAUUUUAGUAAAUAUAAUUAAGAACUUUAAGACAGUAACGGUGAGUGAAAUCCUAAAUAACUAUUAAGUAUAAUGAAUUUUACAUUAAAUUAGGUGAUUUUAUCUAUAGAUAAAGUACUGUGAAGGAAAUAUUAUACAUAACUUUAUAUUAACAGUGAUAAUCACAUACCUUUUGUAUAAUGGGUUUACAAGAAUAAAUGCCAGCAAGCUAAAAGGCUUAGGAAAUUAAAAAGUUGGUAUAACCGAAACCAAGCGAUCUAAUUGUGAAUAUUUUAUGAAUGAACUAUAAAUGUAGAAAAUUUUUGAUGAUUUGCAUUAGCGGCGAAAACCAUCGAGCUGAUAUAGCUGGUUUCUACGAAAUUAUAUUAGUAAUAGUAGUAUUUAAUUACACAAACAAUAGUUAAAACAUUAUUUGUUAAAAGAAAAAAAUCUUUAUCAAAAGCUAACCAACCCAAUUAUUUUAUAUAAUAGAAAUUAGUUAUUAAUACAAUAAAAAAGUAGGCUUAGAAACUGCCAUUUUUUUAAGAUUACGUAAUAGUUUAUUUAAUAAAAAACUUGAAUUCUUAAAUAAAGUUUAACAAAUAAUUGAAAGUUUUGAUUAACAAGUAGUAGAAUAUUUUAUUAUGACACCAUGAAAGUAUAUAAAAAAAAUAAUGUAAACAUAAUUAAUCCUAAAUUUACCCCUAAAUUUUCUUAUAGAUUAUAAAAUAGUAAGGUAAUACGGUUCCUCAUUAAAAAAGGGAUUGAAAUAAUAUUCAACAAGAAAUUAUAUUUUUUUAGGCCGUAAAAUCUAAAUCAAGAAGGGUUAAAAAAUUAAAUUGUUUCUUCUAAGUAACUCGGCAAAAUAGAAUAUCGACUGUUUACCAAAAACAUAGCCCUAGAAAAUACCUAAGGUGUGACCUGCCCAGUGGUUUUUAAUUAUCAAUUUAAAAAAUUGAAAAUAAAACUAAAAGGACGCGGUAACCUUGACCGUGAUAAUGUAGCAUAAUCACUCGCCAUUUAAUUAAUGGAUAGUAUGAAUGGUUGAACGAAUAUUCCACUGUCUUAGAAGGAAUUAAAAGAAAUUGAAAUAAUAGUUAAGAUGCUAUUUUAAACUGUAAGACGAAAAGACCCUAUAGAGCUUAACUAUAAUUUUCAUUUAAUCUAAAAGAAAAUUGUUUUUUUAAUUAUGAAAAUUGGUAGUUUAGUUGGGGCGACUGUCUUCUACAUUAAACGAAGACAAGCAAUAAUAAUAAAAGAUUUAUUGUAUAAUUAAAUGAUUUAACAAUUACUAUAGUAGGCUAUAUUGACCCGUUUGUACUAUAAAAUAAGAAAAACGAUCAAUUAAUAAAAGCUACCUUAGGGAUAACAGGAUAAUUUUAUUCUAGAGUCCAUAUCGAAAAUGAAGUUUGUCACCUCUAUGUUGAAUUAAGAUAUCCCGGUAAUGCAGUAGUUACCAAAGGUAGGUCUGUUCGACCUUUAAAAUCUUACAUGAUUUGAGUUCAUUCCGUCGCAAGACAGGAAGGUUUCUAUCUACAGUUUGUAAACCUUAAGAAUCCUUAGUACGAAAGGAAUAGGAUAAUCAAAAAUCCAUUUUUUAUAUUUCAAUUAAAAAUAUUGAAAGCUUCUAAACACUAAAAUGAGUUUUUAACUCUCCUCCAGCACUACAUACGUACAACGAAUUACCUCUAAUUAAAAUUUACAAAUAACGCCUGCGUACAAAUAU
rnacentral:rRNA from 1 species